UACGGGGGGGGCAAGCGUUGUUCGGAAUUACUGGGCGUAAAGGGCUCGUAGGUGGCCAACUAAGUCAGACGUGAAAUCCCUCAGCUUAACUGGGGAACUGCGUCUGAUACUGGAUGGCUUGAGUUUGGGAGAGGGAUGCGGAAUUCCAGGUGCAGCGGUGAAAUGCGUAGAUAUCUGGAGGAACACCGGUGGCGAAGGCGGCAUCCUGGACCAACACUGACACUGAUGAGCGAAAGCCAGGGGAGCAAACGGG
rnacentral:rRNA from 1 species